AUGAACUGGAUGUGGAGAAUCAUCUUUCUGCUGGCAGGGAUUACAGGUGUGCACCCCCAGGCGCAGCUGGUGCAGUCUGGGGCUGAGGUGAGGAAGCCUGGGACAUCAGUGAAGAUCUCCUGCAAGGCAUCUGGAUACACCUUCACAGAUUAUGCUAUGAACUGGGUCCGACAGGCACCAGGAAAGGGCCUCCAAUGGAUCGGGUAUAUCAAUACAAACACUGGCAAACCCACAUAUGGCCAAAGCUUCUUGGGCCGCUUUGUCAUCUCCAUGGACACUUCUGUCAGCACAGCCUUUCUGCAGAUCAGUGACCUGAAAUUUGAUGACAUGGCCACAUAUUACUGUGCAAGGGUCUCUCUUAUGCCAAUAAACUUCUGGGGU